CCCCUCUCAGGGUCGCACCCGGAGAGUUUCCAGUAUUCUACCAGUCUCAACUGUGGAAGGAGAGUCAAGCAGAGGCAUAUCCAUUCCAUUCCUAGCUUGGGCAGUGGCUAGAGAGUGGAAUGCAAUCUGCUACAAGU
rnacentral:snoRNA from 1 species